rnacentral:rRNA from 1 species
GCGGACGGGUGAGUAACACGUGGAUAACCUACCUAUAAGACUGGGAUAACUUCGGGAAACCGGAGCUAAUACCGGAUAAUAUUUUGAACCGCAUGGUUCAAAAGUGAAAGACGGUCUUGCUGUCACUUAUAGAUGGAUCCGCGCUGCAUUAGCUAGUUGGUAAGGUAACGGCUUACCAAGGCAACGAUGCAUAGCCGACCUGAGAGGGUGAUCGGCCACACUGGAACUGAGACACGGUCCAGACUCCUACGGGAGGCAGCAGUAGGGAAUCUUCCGCAAUGGGCGAAAGCCUGACGGAGCAACGCCGCGUGAGUGAUGAAGGUCUUCGGAUCGUAAAACUCUGUUAUUAGGGAAGAACAUAUGUGUAAGUAACUGUGCACAUCUUGACGGUACCUAAUCAGAAAGCCACGGCUAACUACGUGCCAGCAGCCGCGGUAAUACGUAGGUGGCAAGCGUUAUCCGGAAUUAUUGGGCGUAAAGCGCGCGUAGGCGGUUUUUUAAGUCUGAUGU